UGGAUUCUAGUACCUGCUAAGGAAUUAAUGUAAUUCUUCGAAUUGGAGGUAGAGGUUAUCAAUUCAUACAAAAUAGUAGGAGAACCUUUAGACUAAAGUUUAUGUCUUUGGGAUUAAGAAAUAAUUUAGAUACUAAUAGGCUUUUAUUUUUCUUUUAGCUAUGGCCAACAUACUAUCCCUUUGUAUGCUGUUGGAUAGUGACAAGCUCAUCGAAUAUAACUUCGAUAGCUGGUAUCGAAAGUUGA
rnacentral:lncRNA from 1 species